GGGGGCAGGACGCUUUGCCUUCAGACUGGGCUCGGUGACCAGCUGGUGGGAGCUUUGUCUCCUCAGGGCCGUCAGGGCUCGGGCUCCUGGAUAACGGGGCUGCGUCCGGGCUGAGAGGAGUGGGGUUGCCUCAGUGCCCGCCAGCAGGGAGGCGCUGCAAGAGGGAAAAAUGAGGACGAAGUAGACGUUUCCUGUGUCCAGCUGAGCGCUGACCGGAGGUCCAUCUCAGAGGACUAGAGGAAGGGGGAGGGGAGGAGAGCUCCGUGUGCAAGAUGGCGGGUUUCCAGUUCGAUUUCUGUUAGAUGAUCUAGAGGAUGACCUUCACUGAUGUUCUUCCGUGUUAUCCAGAGGACCCAAGGCAUGGUGGUUGCUAACAGACUUCCCACAGUACUUCUUCAUUCCAUGUGGACUCCUUCAAGGGCAGUGAGCAUCACAGCUUCCCUUGAACUUUGUCUGGAUUCUCCUGAGAAAUAUCCUAAUGUGAAGCUUGCACUCUUAGUGAAAGAUUCUGUUCCUAGUAAAACAGUCGGAAUGAAGGAUUUACAAACAUCCACUUCAGGUAAAUUUUGCAAUACACACAUAACUAUGAAAAGAGGGACACUGAAGUAUUUGAAAUGCUCAGUCUUCAUACUGCUAACUUUUAUUUUCAAAUUUAAUUGAAGC
rnacentral:lncRNA from 1 species